UACGUAGGGGGCUAGCGUUGUCCGGAAUCAUUGGGCGUAAAGCGCGCGUAGGCGGCCCGGUAAGUCUGCUGUGAAAGUCAAAGGCUCAACCUUUGAAUGUCAGCGGAUACUGCCGGGCUAGAGUCCGGAAGAGGAGAGUGGAAUUCCUGGUGUAGCGGUGAAAUGCGCAGAUAUCAGGAAGAACACCAAUGGCGAAGGCAGCUCUCUGGGACGGUACUGACGCUGAGACGCGAAAGCGUGGGGAGCGAACAGG
rnacentral:rRNA from 1 species